rnacentral:lncRNA from 1 species
AUGUUCUUUUGUGUUUGGUGGUGUCAGUCUCCUGAAUCCCCCUUGCUGUUCAGUGUCGCCUACCAGGAUGCCAGGAAGAUGUGCUGCCAACAGCUGCUGAAUUGUGCUUCGUGGUUGAAAGAGAAACGUGGGCUUCGAGAAGACAAUAGAAGAAUUUAUUCUGCAGACCUUUAAGGGGCACGUCAGGGGUAUCACCGGUACCUGCCCGAAGCCCGGCCGCGCAAACACGUCUCAG